UCUCUCUCUCUCUCUCCUUCUCUUUCUCUACCUCAUACGACUCUCAUUCAAUCUCCACCUCAAACGACUCUCUCUUCCCUUUGUUGCUUCUCCGCCGGUAACCCGCCAUCACCAUUUCACUUGCCGGCUGCACGGCUGCUUUUGUCGUAGUUGUUUCGUUGUCGUGCUGUCCCAGUUGUUGAUUCUAUGCUCUUUCUCGCCUGCCCCAUCUUUCUCUCGUCACUACCUUGUAUCGAAACCGCCAACGGUGGCCGAGGGUGGUGGUUGAGGGUUUGUCGCUACCCUAUCGAUCGAUACCUCAGAGACAAUCACAUUGGGGUACCAGUCUGGCCAAAUUUAUCUCCCACAACGAGGACCUUGUUCCUUUCUGAUAAUCAGUUUACUGGAGCCGGGAGGAACUUAUGACUUGUUUGUAUUAAAAUAACUUGGCGGGGGGACUACCUGAUAGCUUUCAACAACUCUCUGGUAUGUCUCUAAAAACAACAUAAGUGGUCAUUUGCCACCGUCAAUGGGGAUUUUGUCAAUUCUUAGACCUUGAAUACUUAUUACUGGAAUAAGUUAUGAAGAUUUGGAAGAGAUGUAUCGGCAAGGGGACAAGGUGGGGCCUGUGAAUUUGAGUUUUAUGUUCAUAUUGUUUAUGAUUGUAUUACUUUCUUUCUCAGUGCGUCUUGCUAGUGUAUCCUUUUGGUUCAUUAAGGCUGAGACCACUUGGGCUUUCACUGUAUUGGGAUACUUAGGGAAGCUUAUAAUGGGAAUCUUAGGGUGUGCAAGAUACAAUUGGAGACAUUUUUGUUCAAGAUUGGAAUGCUUAAUGACGUAAAAAUUUCAAUUUUUAUUUUAUUUCAGAAGUAGUAUAUUGAUACUUGUAUAGAAAUAGCUUAAUAGACACUAGAUUGGUUCAUAUAUAUGACGAUUGUAUGUAUAUUGUUCUAUAUAUGAAGUAUAUGAAAUAUAUGCUGGAGUACUUUGCCAAUAAAAUUUUCAUUUGUGUA